rnacentral:lncRNA from 1 species
UACGUUUGGAAGCACAGACGUCAUGAAAGAUAAAGAUUGGUUAGGUCUUGGCAGUUAGCAAAGAUGGGCCAGGUGCUGGUGGCACGCACUGCCUGCUGACGUCCUCCCACAGAGGAUGACAGGCGAAUUGCUCACCCUCGGUCCUGGACUUCGUCAUCUGGAGGCGGCUCUUCCUGGUGGUUGGUGGGAGCCUGGACUCUGCCUUCUGAAUUCAGCUCCCUGUAACCCAUCUGCUUCGCCACUAGAGGCGGCAAAUGCAAGGCUCUGGGCUACGCUCUACAAACAGUCCAGGCAGAGGGUGGGAAGACUGCAGGGUGCGGUGGCCAGAAUGUGGCGUCACGCUUCCUGGGGACAAGCGCACUUCCUCAGACUCAUGCAAUUACAGUCAUGAUGAACACAGCUGGAAACAAGCGAAAGCGAUGCUGCAAUACUCCCUGUGAAGACAAUGCAAACGUCCCAUGGGCGUUGGACCGCAAUCGUCACGCGGCGGUGUGUUUUCUUCCACUUAAGAGUGACCGGAGAUUCUCUUUGUGACUUCGUACUGUGGAAGACCUGUAAGAAUUCAAAUCGUGAGACACCACUCCCCACUGUAGGACUGCCCGGAAGAAGACAUUUGAGGAAGAAUAAGAGGCUCACAGAGGAGACCCUUGCAGAGCCUGGAGACCAUCAUCUCAGCUUCACUGAACGGCCAGCAAGUCCAGAGAGCCUCUUGCUUCUGCCUUCCCAGUGCUGGGAUUAUAGGCGAGCACAACCAUAGCUAGAUUUUCCAUGGGUGCUGGGAUCUAAACUGAGGUCCCCUGGAUUUCAGGGCGAUUUGCUUUGUUACUGAGAAAUGUCUUCAGCCCAC